ensembl:lncRNA
ACUUUUCUUUGUAGGCUUGGUGGAGAAUUCUUGACUGAAUCUUGCAGCAAACAUCUUGAAGAAGUACUGAGGAAAAACCAGAGAUUGAGAGAACUACAAGUCUCCCUCAAGAACCCAGAUGACAAAACAAUUGAAUUCCUGAGCAGAUGGAUCAAACAUCCAGAAUAUAAAAUAAAGAUGAUACAGGAAGUGAUUUCCCCACUCUCAGUUUACUGUGCACAAUAGUCUCUUAACUAUUGCCAUACAUAAUCAUAUUUUCUUCAUUUCCAUUAAGAAUAGAGUCCAUACUUCUUUUUCAACAAAUAAUUGUAAUUUUUUGAACUCUACUUUUCAGGAUUGUUGGAGAGUCCCAGACUGAAUCCCUCAGCAGGCAUUGUGCAGAAGUAGUUGGAAAAAACCAGGGACUGAGAGAGUUACAGUUCUCCUUUGUGAACCCAGAUGACAAAACAAUGGAUCUGCUGUGUGAGGAGCUCAAACAUCCACAAUGCAAAGUAGAGACACUAAGGUAAAUGACAGUUUCUUCCUUUCAGUUUGUUGUGCACAACCAACUCUUAACUUUUAAUUUCCUAGGAAUAUAUUCAAGGAGAGGCAGUUCCGUUGCUAUACAUAAUCAUAUUCUCUUCAAUUCCUAUAACAGUACAUUACAUGCUUGUUUUUCAAAAAAAUAAUUGUAAUUUUUUUGGGCUUUUCUCCGGAGGCUUGUUGGAGUGUUCCUGACAGAAUCCAACAGUAAGCAUAUUGCAGAAAUACUGAGGAAAAACCAGGGAUUGAGACAGUUAGCUUUGUCCCUCAAGAACCCAAAUGGCAAAACAAUGGAACUGCUAUGUAAUGGGCUCAAACAUCCAGAAUGUACAAUAGAGACACUUCAGCUUUUUGGAGAGUUCCUGACUGAAUCUUGCAGCAGGCAUCUUGCAGAAGUACUCAAGAAAAACCAGAUAUUGAGAGAGUUAGAUUUGACCCUUGAAAACACAGGUGACAAAACCAUGGAACAGCUGUGGGGGGCCCUCAAACAUCCAGAAUGUAAAAUUGAGAUGCUACGGUUGAAUGGAAAAUACAUCAUACAGAAUGGAAAAUGGAAUGAAAUGGACAACACAGCUGUGGUGGAAUCUCCAGCUAGUGUGGUGGGAGGAAUGAAGAGACUGGCAAGCUUCGAAUCCUUGCAGAGCAGGAAGAGGCGCAAACCUGACCGCUUUCAGAAUUCCUGAACCUCUAAUCUGGCUGUUCCCAAAAUAAUGCAGCCCAUCCAGUGAAAUUUUCUGAUCCAGUGAAAUUUUCUGAUCAGCUCAUGGUGUCACUAUGAUUCCUUGGACCUGUCAAUGGCUAAUCCUCGACUACAGAUGCUGUUCUUGUUUGAUUGAUCUAUGUUUAUUUGCAUUCAGAGUAUGGUGAAGAAGAGUUGGAAUUUAAUAUAUUUCAAGUGAAAGUCUAAAAAUCUUUCUUUCAGGCACUAUACAGUUAGUCCUCAACCAGUUUUCACAUCUAUAACUCAUCACAAUAAAAAAUUGAACACUUGGCAAUUAGCAUGCAUUUAUGACAGUGGUGGGAUUCAAAAUU